GAGGAAGAACGCCUAGUGGUUAAUACCCAUUAGGAAAGACAUCACUCGCAGAAGAAGCACCGGCUAACUCCGUGCCAGCAGCCGCGGUAAUACGGAGGGGGCAAGCGUUAAUCGGAAUUACUGGGCGUAAAGCGCGCGUAGGUGGCUUGAUAAGCCGGUUGUGAAAGCCCCGGGCUCAACCUGGGAACGGCAUCCGGAACUGUCAGGCUAGAGUGCAGGAGAGGAAGGUAGAAUUCCCGGUGUAGCGGUGAAAUGCGUAGAGAUCGGGAGGAAUACCAGUGGCGAAGGCGGCCUUCUGGACUGACACUGACACUGAGGUGCGAAAGCGUGGGUAGCAAACAGGAUUAGAUACCCUGGUAGUCCACGCCGUAAACGAUGUCGACCAGCCGUUGGGUGCCUAGAGCACUUUGUGGCGAAGUUAACGCGAUAAGUCGACCGCCUGGGGAGUACGGCCGCAAGGUUAAAACUCAAAUGAAUUGACGGGGGCCCGCACAAGCGGUGGAGCAUGUGGUUUAAUUCGAUGCAACGCGAAGAACCUUACCUACCCUUGACAUCUACAGAAGCCGGAAGAGAUUCUGGUGUGCCUUCGGGAACUGUAAGACAGGUGCUGCAUGGCUGUCGUCAGCUCGUGUUGUGAAAUGUUGGGUUAAGUCCCGUAACGAGCGCAACCCUUGUCCUUAUUUGCCAGCGAGUAAUGUCGGGAACUCUAAGGAGACUGCCGGUGACAAACCGGAGGAAGGUGGGGACGACGUCAAGUCAUCAUGGCCCUUACGGGUAGGGCUACACACGUGCUACAAUGGCCGGUACAAAGGGCUGCGAGCUCGCGAGAGUCAGCGAAUCCCUUAAAGCCGGUCUCAGUCCGGAUCGGAGUCUGCAACUCGACUCCGUGAAGUCGGAAUCGCUAGUAAUCGUGAAUCAGAAUGUCACGGUGAAUACGUUCCCGGUCUUUUUUUACACCGCCCGUCACAGCAUGGGAGUGGACUGCACCAGAAGUGGUUAGCCUUGCGCAAGAGUACGAUC
rnacentral:rRNA from 1 species